CUACGGGUUGCAGCAGUGAGGAAUAUUGCACAAUGGGGGGAACCCUGAUGCAGCAACGCCGCGUGGAGGAUGACGCAUUUCGGUGUGUAAACUCCUUUUAUAUGUCAAGAAAAUGACGGUAGCAUAUGAAUAAGCACCGGCUAACUCCGUGCCAGCAGCCGCGGUAAUACGGAGGGUGCAAGCGUUACUCGGAAUCACUGGGCGUAAAGGACGCGUAGGCGGGUUGGAAAGUCAGGUGUGAAAUCCUACAGCUUAACUGUAGAACUGCGCUUGAAACUUCUAAUCUAGAGUAUGGGAGGGGGAGAUGGAAUUAGUGGUGUAGGGGUAAAAUCCGUAGAUAUCACUAGGAAUACCUAAAGCGAAGGCGAUCUCCUGGAACAUUACUGACGCUAAGGCGUGAAAGCGUGGGGAGCAAACAGGAUUAGAUACCCUUGUAGUC
rnacentral:rRNA from 1 species